CCUACGUGGUGCAGCAGUGGGGAAUAUUGCGCAAUGGGCGAAAGCCUGACGCAGCGACGCCGCGUGAGGGAUGAAGGUCUUCGGAUCGUAAACCUCUGUCAGCAGGGAAGAACGGUCACUGUGCUAAUCAGCAGUGAAUUGACGGUACCUGCAAAGGAAGCACCGGCUAACUCCGUGCCAGCAGCCGCGGCAAUACGGAGGGUGCGAGCGUUAAUCGGAAUUACUGGGCGUAAAGCGCUCGUAGGCGGUAUGUCAAGUCAAGGGUGAAAUCCCCGCGCUAAACGUGGGAACUGCCUUUGAAACUGGCAAACUGGAGUGUGUGAGAGGAUAGUGGAAUUCCAGGUGUAGGAGUGAAAUCCGUAGAUAUCUGGAGGAACAUCAGUGGCGAAGGCGACUAUCUGGCACAUAACUGACGCUGAGGAGCGAAAGCGUGGGUAGCAAACAGGAUUAGAUACCCGGGUAGUC
rnacentral:rRNA from 1 species